AUGCGUGCAAAAGACAAAAAAAGGGGUUUUCUUUUUUCUUUUCCUUCUUCUUCUUCCUCCUCGAGCCGUCCCCCCUUCUGCAGUCGUCGUUCGACCUCGGCGCCGCCGCUCGUAGGCACCAGCUCUUCGCCGGUCGUUUCUCUAUUCGUCGAUAGCCGAAGCCGCCGUCGAGCGCACACCAGAAGGCAAAUCUGUUCGCCACUCGACCUGACGCAGAUCGCUCGCCUCGUUCGUUCCAGCCGCGCGUUUCAUUCCAGCCGCGCCGAGCUCUCCUUUCGCCUCUGUUCGUCCGUCGUACGUCAGUGUUUCGUUGAUAGUCGAAGCCCAACGCGCGUCAAAGCUCACCUCGUUCAUUUGCACACCAGAAAGUGUCGGUUGUUACCGAUUCGUGGUUGGUUUCACCUGAUCCUACUGUUUGGGGUAAGUUUCAGUUCCCUUUUGGCAGCUCACUAUCUUUUGGGGUUCUUGGGCCUAUUUGUGAUUGGUUUCAGGAACGUGCGGCGGUGAAGGAAGUUCUCAAGCGGAGUAAGGUCUCGUCUUUUGGACAGUGUAGUAUCCUGAGGUAAGAGUAAUGACAGAUCGGUGGCCGCUAUCCUCAUCAAUCCCGUUACCACCAGUUCAGAAUUAGGAUAGGGCCACGACUCGGACCGUGGCAGGCCCUUCGUUGGAAGCUGGAUACCUACGAGAUUUCAAGAAGUAUGAUCCCCCAAUGUUUAACGGAUCCUUGAAAGACCCCACAAAUACAGAAUUGUGGUUGUCCACUGUUCAGGGGAUCUUCCAGUACAUGAGGUGUCUAGAGAAGCAGAAGUUGCAGUGUGUCGCUUUCGUUUUCAUCGACAAUGCCAAGCGCUGGUGGCACUCGGCUGAGAGAAUGAUAGAAUCCGGUGGAGACCAAGCCACAUGGGAUCAGUUCAAGGAGCAGUUUUAUGAGAAGUACCUCUCUGCUCAUGUGAGGUACAACAAGCAGGCUGUGUUCAUGAACUUGAAGCAGGAAACCAUGACAGUGGAAGAGUAUGAAAAGAAGUUUGACAAAUUGUCUUGUUUUGCCCUGACCUGGUGUCUAUCGAAGCAAAGAGGGUUGAGAGGUUUGUACAAGGACUCCGAGACGGGGUGCGAGGCAUCGUGCAAGCCCUAGAGCCUCCCACUUACGCCACAGCCUUCCGAGCGGCAGCACACAUCGGUUGUCUUUUAGGGAUAGAGUUUCUGAAGUCCCUGACGGAGGAACCAGCCUCCGGCUAGAAGAAAAAGUUUGAGCAAAAAGCUUUGGGACCUCCGUAGAAGGUCCAGAGUACAAGCAGGUCAAUAAGGCAUGCUCAACGACAAGCUACGACUUCAGGAGGAGUUUUGAGGGAAAGGUCGGUAUGCAAGUCUUAUGGGAAACGUCAUUGGGGACGCUAUCUGAUUAGCAUGGGAACAUGCUUCAGAUGUAAGCAGAUAGGGCAUACGACAGAACAAUGCCCUAGUAAUGGUUCCGGAAGUGCGGGGGGUCAGCCCCCGAGUUCGCAUCAGGGUAUUUCAAACCGAUAGCAGCAGCGAGGUCGGGUCUAUGCCACCAGUCGUCGGGAAGCUGAGCACUCGGGAAUAGUGGUGACAGGUACGCUCCUAAUCUUGGGGCACUAUGCCUUGACAUUGUUUGACUCUGACUCGUCCCACUCUUUCAUUUCAUCGUUGUUUGUAAAGCAUGCCAUGUUAGUUUUGGAGCCUUUGGGCUAUGUUUUGUCAGUGUCUACACCGUCGGGAGAAAUUAUGAUAGGCAGUGAAAAGAUAAAAGCAUGUCAGUUAGAAAUAGCAAACCGCACCCUUGAUAUGACUCUGAUAGUAUUACACAUGCAUGAUUUCGAUGUAAUUCUAGGCAUGGAUUGGUUGGCUGCCAACUAUGCUAGUAUAGAUUGUUCUCGUAAGAAGGUGAAUUUCAACCCCCUAAGAGAAGCCAGCUUUAAGUUCAAAGGGGCCGGGAUAGUAGUUUUGCCCAAGGUGAUUUCAGCGAUUAAGGCCAAGAGAUUGACUAGCCAAGGUGUCUGGAGUAUCUUGGCUAGCGUAGUUGACACAAGGGAAACCGAGGUUGAACUAACCUCUGAACCAGUUAUGUGGGAUUAUCCCGAUGUAUUCCCAGAAGAACUCCCAGGAUUGCCUCCACCAAGGGAGAUUGAUUUUACGAUUGAACUGGAGCCAGACACUUCCUAUAUCCAAAGCCCCGUACAGAAUGGCUCCAGCAGAAUUGAAAGAAUUGAAGGUCCAAUUGCAGGAACUGCUUGAUAAAGGGUUCAUACGACCCAGUGUUUCUCCUUGGGGUGCACCAGUGUUGUUUGUGAAGAAAAAGGAUGGGUCGUUACAUUUAUGCAUAGACUACAGGGAGUUGAAUAAGGUGACCAUUAAGAAUAAGUACCCGCUUCCUAAAAUCGAUGACCUAUUUGACCAGCUACAGGCUUCUAUCGUAUUUUCCAAGAUUGACCUACAGUCAGGUUACCAUCAGCUGAGGAUCAGGGACAGUGAUAUUCUGAAGACUGCAUUCCGAUCUAGAUAUGGGCAUUACAAGUUCAUUGUAAAAUGUUUUGGUCUGACCAAUGCUCCAGCGGUAUUCAUGGAUUUGAUGAAUCGGGUGUUCAAGGACUUCCUAGAUGCCUUUGUAAUCGUUAUUAUUGAUGACAUUUUGGUAUACUCCAAGACAGAGGUGGAGCAUAAGGAACAUCUUAGGAAGGUCCUAGGAACACUGUGGGAAAAUAAACUGUAUGCAAAGUUUUCUAAGUGCGAGUUCUGGCUACGGAAAGUGUCCUUCCUUGGGCACGUGGAAGGAUGGGGUUUUAGUGGAUCUAGCUAAGAUUGAGGUCAUUACCAAUUGGCCCCGCCCUACAAUGGUCAGUGAGGUGCAUAGUUUCCUGGGUUUGGUUGGAUACUAUCGUAGGUUUGUAGAGAAUUUCUCCAGCAUGGCCACGCCGUUGACCCAGCUAACCAGGAAGAGAGCUUCAUUUGUUUAGAGCAAAGCAUGUAAGGAUAGUUUUUAGGACCUCAAGCAGAGGUUGAUUUCAACCCCGGUUCUCACCGUACCAGAUGGCUCUAGGAACUUCGUGAUCGAUAGUGAUGCUUCUAAGAAAGGUUUGGGUUGUGUGCUUAUGCAACAUGGUAGGGUGGUCGCCUAUGCCUCCCGCCAGUUGAAGAACCAUGAGUGCAACUAUCCUACCCACGACUUGGAAUUGGCAACGGUAGUGUUUGCCCUGAAGAUCUGGAGACACUACUUGUAUGGGGAAAAGAUCCAAGUGUUCACCGACCACAAGACUCUAAAAUACUUCUUCACCCAGAAAGAGUUAAACAUGAGGCAGCGCAGGUGGCUCGAGUUAGUAAAGGAUUAUGACUGCGAGAUCCUCUACCACCUAGGUAAGGCGAAUGUGGUAGCUAAUGCCCUCAGUCGAAAGGUAGCUCAUUCGGCCACCUUGAUCGCUAAGCAGGUUCAGUUAUGUAAAGACCUGGAACAAGCAGAGAUUGCGAUGGCAGUGAAGGAAGUCACUUUGCAGCUAGCCCAGUUGACAGUGCAACCAACCUUGAGGCAGCGGAUUAUUGAUGCACAGUAGGGUGAUCCCGAUCUGGUUCAGCAGUGUCGUCAGGUAGGGUCAGGUCAGGCAAGUGAAUUUUCAUUGUCAGUGGACAAGGGUCUUUUGUACCAGGGACGGUUAUGCGUCCCAACAGAUGAUGGCUUGAAAAGGGAACUAUUGGCGGAAGCUCAUAAAUCUCCAUUCUCGAUGCACCCAGGUAGUACCAAAAUGUACCAAGAUGUGAAACGGUAUUACUCGUGGCCCAAUAUGAAAAGGGAGAUAGCUGAUUAUGUCAGUAGAUGUUUAGUCUGUCAGCAGAUGAAGGCCCUGAGGCAGAAGAUAGCAGGCUUACUAUAACCAUUGGGAGAGCGUGGCUAUGGAUUUUAUUACGGGGUUGCACAGCGAAGGGUUUCUUGGUGAUUUGGGUUGUGAUAGACAGACUCACCAAGGUCGCACAUUUUAUACCAGGAAAGCCCACAUACGCGGUGAGUAAGUGGGCUCAGUUUUACAUGAAAUAGAUAGUAAGGUUGCAUGGUGUGCCAGUGUCAAUUGUGUCCGACAAUGACCCUCGUUUCACCUACAGUUUUUGGAAGAGCCUCCAGGCAGCUUUAGGGUCACGGUUGAACUUCAGUACAGUGUUUCACCCCCAAACUGAUGGGAAAAUAGAACGUUUAAAUCAGACAUUGGAGGACAUGUUGCACGCGUGUGCGUUGGAAUUCUCAGGGGGUUGGGACUCCCACUUACAUUUGGCAAAGUUUCCUUAUAAUAACAGCUAUCAGGCUACCAUUGGUAUGUCGCCGUUUGAAGCUCUUUAUGGCAAAGGAUGCAGGUCUCCUGUUUACUGGGGUGAGACUGGGGUGAGACUGGGGAGAGGAAACUAGUGGGGACUGAGUUAGUGGAGUUGACGAAUGAAGCCAUGCAGAAAAUCAGGGCCAGAAUGCUAGCAGCACAAAGUAGACGUAAAAGUUACGCAGAUGUUAGGCGAAAAGAUCUGGAGUUCGAAGCAGGUGACAAGGUGUUCCUGAAAGUGGCGCCGAUGAAGGGUAUCUUGAGAUUCGGGAAGAAAAAUAAGCUAAGUCCAUGUUUUAUAGGGCCAUUCGAGAUUUUGCAGCGGGUCGGUCCUGUGGCUUACCGUUUGGCCUUGCCACCGUCCCUCUCCGUGAUCCAUAAUGUAUUUCAUGUCUCCAUGUUGAGGAAGUAUUUAACGGACCCGUCGCAUAUGGUGGACUUUGAGACCUUGCAACUGAAUGAAAACUUGAGUUACAAGGAGAAGCCCACGCAAAUUAUGGCCAAGGAGGUGAAAGUUUUGGGCAGUAAAGAAGUGCCACUGGUGAAGGUUCUAUGGCAGAACAAUCAGUUUGAGGAAGCAACUUGGGAGUGAGAGGACGAGAUGAGGGCACUGCGUCCAGAGCUCUUCCAGGAUUAGAACUUUCGAGGAUGAAAGUUUAUUAAAGGGGGGAAGAGUGUAACGCCCAAAGUUUUAAAAAAAAAGAAAAAAAAAAAGGGAAAUGUUGGUUAUUUUUAGGAAGAGGGAAUUGGGGUUUUAAAAAUGGGGCCUUGGGAUGUAUGCAAAAUACAAAAAAAAAAAAAGGGUUUUCUUUUUUAUUUUCCUUCUUCUUCUUCUUCCUCCUCCAACUACCCCCCUUCUGCAGUCGUCAUUCGACCUCCGUGCCAGCUCUUCGCCAGUCGUUUCUCCAUUUGUCGAUAGUCGAAGCCGCCGUCGAGCGCACAUCAGAAGGCAGAUUCGUCCGCCGCUCGACCUGACGCAGAUCGCACGCCUCGUUCGUUCCAGCCGUAUGAGUUCCAGCCACGUCGAGCUCUCCUUUCGCCUCCGUUCGUCCGCCGCACGUCAGUGUUCCAUCGAUAGUCGAAGCCCAACGCACAUCAGAGCUCACCUCAUUCGUUUGCACGUCAGAACAGUGUCGGUUGUUGUCGAUUUGUGGUUGGUUUCGUCUGAUCCUACUGUUCGAGGUAAGUUCCGAUUCCCUUUUGGUAGCUCACUGUCUUUUGGGGUUCUUGGGCCUAAUUUGUGAUUGGUUUCAAGAACGUGCGGCGGUGAAGGAAGUUCUCGAGCGAAGUAAGGUCUCGUUUUUUAGACAGUGUGGUAUCUUGAGGUAAGAGUAAUGAUAGACUGGUGCAUGACAAGAGAGAUCCGUGACCUGGUCAUUAGGACGAUUCACUGCUUCUGCAUAUAGUAUUAUGUUCUAAAAACUGGUUUAGGAGUUAGGCCUUUUUUUUUCACUUUUAUGUAAAAUAUAUCAAUUUUAUUAUUUGACUAUUUAAUUUCAUUCAUUUUUUUUAGUAGGGUUUAGAGGUACCCCGAAUAGUAAAUUAUUUUAUUUUACUAUGCUCUAGUUUAUUUAUUAUUAUUUAAUUAUGUUUUCACAAAUUUGCUCGUUUGAACAUUAUUAAAUAAAAACUUGGCUCUUUAAUUUGAUGAUUUAAAAGAAAUUGUACGAUUAAGCCCAUGCAUGCAUGAAGUAGUGUCCUAGAUUGUAGUAGGAAACUAGGGUCGUUACAGUAUAUACUGAAUUUGUUGUUAUAACUGUUUGUAUACUAAGUUAUAUAUGAUAUAGAAGUUUUUUUAAAUAAUCAUUAUGCAUUUAUGAUUUAUUAUGUAUUGCAUUUUAUAGGUACUCUUACUGUUCCAAUUUUAUAUGACGAUUGUUUCAAUGAGAGAGAUAAUUACAUUAAUUACGAAGUAGCUGAAAUAGAUUUUCAUCAUCAAAUGUCGUUUGUUGAGUUUCAACAAUUAGUGUCGAUAAGAUAAGUAGUGUAGGCAAUUUUGGUAACGUUGAGAUUUUUGUGUGCAUGGAUCAAAGGAUUUUAUGAAGAAGGAUUUGAAACUUAGAAAAGAUAAUGACGUUAGAUGGUUGCUCUACCUAGUUUCCAGCAAUGUCGAAAAAUUUUGAUCAUUGAUUGUUAUUUUUUCAAAUAACCUAUCAAUAGUCUUGGAUAAUAUAUUUCCCAAUGAAGCUAUGAGUAAUAUUAAUCAUGAUGAAGGUCGUUAUUAUGAAACAAUUGAUUUAUCGAAGAUUUUCCCUAAUUUCCAAGUUAAGAUUUGGCUUGCUCGAGAAGCUAGAUUGGACAUGGAUUGGACAUAACUUACCAAAAGGCUUGGCGUGCUCGAAAAGCUAUUGUGAAUGAAAUUCGAUGAUCACCUGAAGAAUCUUUCAAGAUGAUUUCAACAUUUUCUUUUCAGUUGAUUGUGAGAAACCCUGGUAUAUUCUUAAUAUGUUGUAGUUGUUUUUAUAUGGUCCAUUAUUUG